rnacentral:rRNA from 1 species
CAGCCGCCACGGGAAUACGUAGGGUGCGAGCGUUAAUCGGAAUUACUGGGCGUAAAGCGUGCGCAGGCGGUUAUAUAAGACAGAUGUGAAAUCCCCGGGCUCAACCUGGGACCUGCAUUUGUGACUGUAUAGCUAGAGUACGGUAGAGGGGGAUGGAAUUCCGCGUGUAGCAGUGAAAUGCGUAGAUAUGCGGAGGAACACCGAUGGCGAAGGCAAUCCCCUGGACCUGUACUGACGCUCAUGCACGAAAGCGUGGGGAGCAAACAGGAUUAGAUACCCCUGUAGUCCCUGUCUCUUAUAA